AACGCGAAGAACCUUACCAGGCCUUGACAUGGGUAGUAUGGAUACCAGAAAAGGUAUCCUUCAGUUUGGCUGGCUACCACACAGGUGCUGCAUGGCUGUCGUCAGCUCGUGUCGUGAGAUGUUGGGUUAAGUCCCGCAACGAGCGCAACCCUCAUCCUUAGUUGCCAACAGGUCAAGCUGGGAACUCUAAGGAAACUGCCGGUGAUAAGCCGGAGGAAGGUGGGGAUGACGUCAAGUCUUCAUGGCCCUUACGGCCUGGGCUACACACGUGCUACAAUGGCGGUGACAAUGGGCAGCCAACCCGCAAGGGUGCGCUAAUCUCAAAAAGCCGUCUCAGUUCGGAUUGCACUCUGCAACUCGAGUGCAUGAAGCUGGAAUCGCUAGUAAUCGUAGAUCAGCAUGCUACGGUGAAUACGUUCCCGGGCCUUGUACACACCGGCUAC
rnacentral:rRNA from 1 species